AGCGAGUGUACUUAGGGGUUGUAGACGUGAAUUCUGGAAAGACCAGAUAACGGAACACCCGACUUGCAAAAUUGUUCCAAAAUGAAAGUACACAGAAGAAA